AGCAUUCAUGGCGAUGGGGUUCGCCUGCCGCUCCGCACGCGCGUAGCUGAUGACUCCUACAUCUCG
rnacentral:ncRNA from 2 species